GAUGAACGCUGGCGGCGUGCCUAAUACAUGCAAGUCGUGCGGCAGCGGCCCUUCGGGGUGUCGGCGAGCGGCGGACGGCUGAGUAACACGUAGGAACGUACCCCAAAGUGAGGGAUAACUGCUCGAAAGAGUAGCUAAUACCGCAUGUGAUCUUCGGAUUAAAGCUCCGGCGCUUUGGGAACGGCCUGCGUAAGAUUAGCUUGUUGGUGAGGUAAUGGCUCACCAAGGCGACGAUCUUUAGCUGGUCUGAGAGGAUGAUCAGCCAGACUGGGACUGAGAACGGCCCAGACUCCUACGGGAGGCAGCAGUAGGGAAUUUUCCACAAUGGGGGCAACCCUGAUGGAGCAACGCCGCGUGCAGGAUGAAUGUCUUCGGAUUGUAAACUGCUUUUAUCUGUGACGAAUAUGACGGUAGCAGAUGAAUAAGGACCUGCUAACUACGUGCCAGCCGCCGCAGUAAAAC
rnacentral:rRNA from 1 species